rnacentral:misc_RNA from 1 species
CGCGUAAUAAGGAAUGCGCGAGCGGCGACGGCGGCGGCUGAGGCGCGGGAGGCAGGCUCCGCGCAGGCGACGGCGGCGCGGCGGCUGAGGCGCGGGCGCCGGGGCGACCGCCGCCACACACACUACCUUGCUACCUUAACCGAACGGACGCGUUGCGAGCAAUCUCGCUGUUUUGUCGGGAAUUUGUAUUUAAUUUCAUAAUCACGAACAUUAUAAGUAAUAAUCACCAGUAUUUCUUUUAUUUUAUGUCCCACAAGAGACAUAAUUUGGCGCCCCCGGGUGGGCCACGAACUGCCUAUUUCGGAAUUACGUCGUCCCUGAUGUCGCUACCGUCUCCAGAGCUAAUUGACAUCAAUCCAAGAAGACUAAACAGAUAUGAAGUAUUGGAACAAAUGAGACAACACUUCUGGAAAAGAUGGCAGUCAGAAUAUGUUACUGAACUCCAGCAUCGUUGCAAAUGGAAAACCCGGUGCAGAGAUUUAAAAGAAGGAGAGCUAGUGAUAAUUAAAGAUGACAAUGUGCCUCCACUAUUAUGGCGACUUGGAAGAGUUCAAAAACUUUACCCAGGCGCAGACGGAGUGCCGCGAGUUGCUGAUAUAAAGACAUCAAGAGGAGUCAUCAGACGCGCACUCAAUCGUAUAUCCCUUCUUCUAGACGACAUUGCUUGAAAGCAGCGCUUUCAAGGGCCCCCAGUAUGUUCGCGCGCGUAAUAAGGAAUGCGCGAGCGGCGACGGCGGCGGCUGAGGCGCGGGAGGCAGGCUCCGCGCAGGCGACGGCGGCGCGGCGGCUGAGGCGCGGGCGCCGGGGCGACCGCCGCCACACACACUACCUUGCUACCUUAACCGAACGGACGCGUUGCGAGCAAUCUCGCUGUUUUGUCGGGAAUUUGUAUUUAAUUUCAUAAUCACGAACAUUAUAAGUAAUAAUCACCA